CGGUUCGAGUAAGUGAUAUUUCAGAACAGGAUCUAGUUCCUUCAAUACCAAUGUAUUCUAGUAAUAUGAAUUUUUUCGAAUCCCACCGUGGCCGGGCAUAUUUUUCAAGCUCGCCCGGUGUGGAUAUACACUCAGAGUAACACCACAAAUAUCAUAUUCACCUGAGUACACUACACCAACACAGAAAAAAAAUUCAUAUUACUAGAAUACAUUGGUAUCGAAGGAACUAGAUCCUGUUCCGAAAUAUCACUUACUCGAACC
rnacentral:miRNA from 1 species